UCGCGCAUUUGAGAAUAUAGAUUAGAGCCCCUAGCUUGCUCUCUUGAAAGCUCAACUGCAAGCUUUAGAGUUCAUCCAUACAAUUGCCUCUAAGUAGUUCUUGAUAGUCUGGGAAAAAUGGAAUUCUCUUUUUGCGCUCUUUGCGCAUUCUAAUCUGAUUUAUAUCAUCAGGGAACCAACACCUCUUAGUUCCUCAAAAUCAACUAUGAUGGCAUUUGUUGGAUGAUGAAGCCCAUGGUGAGGCUAGGCUUGUUAUUUGCAAUCUUAGUUCUCUCCUAGUGGUCAUAGGGGGACGUCAUCUAUAUGACGUGGCGAUUCCAUCGGC
rnacentral:lncRNA from 1 species